rnacentral:rRNA from 1 species
GUGGAAUGCGCGGUUAUCAGGAGGAACAUAGAAGGAGAAGGCCAAGUCUAUGGGCUGUAAAUGAACUUGAGGAGAGAAAGCAUGGGGAGCGAACAGGAUUAGAUUCCCUAGUAGUCCAUGCCGUACACUUUGUGCACUAGGUGUGGGGACCAUUACACGGUUUCCGCGCCGCAGCUAACGCAUUAAUUGCCCCGCCUGGGGAGUACGGCCGCAAGGAUAAAACUCAAAGGAAUUGACGGGGGCCCGCACAAGCGGCGGAGCAUGCGGAUUAAUUUGAUGCAACGCGAAGAACCUUACCAAGGCUUGACAUGUUCUCGAUCGCCGUAGAGAUACGGUUUCCCCUUUGGGGCGGGUUCACAGGUGGUGCAUGGUUGUCGUCAGCUCGUGUCGUGAGAUGUUGGGUUAAGUCCCGCAACGAGCGCAACCCUCGUUCCAUGUUGCCAGCACGUAAUGGUGGGGACUCAUGGGAGACUGCCGGGGUCAACUCGGAGGAAGGUGAGGACGACGUCAAAUCAUCAUGCCCCUUAUGUCUUGGGCUUCACGCAUGCUACAAUGGCCGGUACAAUGGGUUGCGAUACUGUGAGGUGGAGCUAAUCCCAAAAAGCCGGUCUCAGUUCGGAUUGGGGUCUGCAACUCGACCCCAUGAAGUCGGAGUCGCUAGUAAUCGCAGAUCAGCAACGCUGCGGUGAAUACGUUCCCGGGCCUUGUACACACCGCCCGUCAAGUCACGAAAGUCGGUAACACCCGAAGCCGGUGGCCUAACCCUUGUGGGA